rnacentral:rRNA from 1 species
UACGUAGGGUGCGAGCGUUAAUCGGAAUUACUGGGCGUAAAGCGUGCGCAGGCGGUUUUGUAAGCCAGAUGUGAAAUCCCCGGGCUCAACCUGGGAAUGGCAUUUGGGACUGCAAGGCUGGAGUGUGGCAGAGGAGACUGGAAUUCCUGGUGUAGCAGUGAAAUGCGUAGAUAUCAGGAGGAAUACCGAUGGCGAAGGCAGGUCACUGGGCCGCAACUGACGCUGAGGAGCGAAAGCAUGGGGAGCGAACAGG